rnacentral:rRNA from 1 species
CGAGCGCAACCCUUAUCAUUAGUUGCUACGCAAGGGCACUCUAAUGAGACUGCCGGUGACAAACCGGAGGAAGGUGGGGAGUGACGUCAAGUCCUCAUGGCCCUUAUGGGUAGGGCUUCACACGUCAUACAAUGGUCGGUACAGAGGGUUGCCAAGCCACGAGGCGGAGCCAAUCCCACAAAAGCCGAUCGUAGUCCGGAUUGUUCUCUGCAACUCGAGAGCAUGAAGUCGGAAUCGCUAGUAAUCGUGGAUCAGAAUGUCACGGUGAAUACGUUCCCGGGUCUU